UACGGGGGGGGCAAGCGUUGUUCGGAAUUACUGGGCGUAAAGGGCUCGUAGGCGGCCAACUAAGUCAGACGUGAAAUCCCUCGGCUUAACCGGGGAACUGCGUCUGAUACUGGAUGGCUUGAGGUUGGGAGAGGGAUGCGGAAUUCCGGGUGUAGCGGUGGAAUGCGUAGAGAUCCGGAAGAACACCGGUGGCGAAGGCGGUCUGCUGGGGUGAGGCUGACGCUGAUGCGCGACAGCGUGGGGAGCAAACAGG
rnacentral:rRNA from 1 species